rnacentral:tRNA from 1 species
GGUUUCGUGGUCUAGUUGGUUAUGACACCUCGCUAACACCGAGGUGGUCCCCGGUUCGAGCCCGGGCGAAACCA